UACGUAGGGUGCAAGCGUUAAUCGGAAUUACUGGGCGUAAAGCGUGCGCAGGCGGUUUUGUAAGUCUGUCGUGAAAUCCCCGGGCUCAACCUGGGAAUUGCGAUGGAGACUGCAAGGCUAGAGUUUGGCAGAGGGGGGUAGAAUUCCACGUGUAGCAGUAAAAUGCGUAGAGAUGUGGAGGAACACCGAUGGCGAAGGCAGCCCCCUGGGUCAAAACUGACGCUCAUGCACGAAAGCGUGGGGAGCAAACAGG
rnacentral:rRNA from 1 species